AUAUUUUGGUGCACAAUUCUGAUGCAUCGCAUCACUACAACUGCGAAGGUUUAUUUGCACACUCACUGAGGAAUUGGAAAGCUGUCACAUCUACUAUUUGUUCUGGUAAUUAGUCGCACCUAAAGCAACAAUGGCCUAGAUCUGCAUGAUGUCUUCAACGAGGAGAGUGUAAACAUUAAAAACAGACAUUUGUUUUCCUUAAAUGAUAAAAAAAAUUGUCACUUUUUUCUAGGUGCAACCAAUAAUCUUACUGUCACCUAAGGAGACACAAAAUGCAUAUAUUUAUAGAGAUUAAACUACAGUUAUGCAGCCAAUAAAGCAAUGUUUUAUUUAUAAUGCACAAUCUCCACUGUUUGUUUAACAGACUGAGCUACAGUUCGACCCUUAAGGCUGCAGAUGAUGAGCUCUAACAGUCUGUCAGCGACCUUUCUUAGCUUUCUUCCUGAUCAAAGUCUUCACUCAGCAUCACCCGCAGGUCCCAACCCUCACUCCUUCACACUCAAUGCGCUGAAGAACAAAGGCUGGAGGAGGACGUACAGAGGAGGAAGGAGAAAGUGAGGCUGAAAAAAAAGAAGAGAACAGGGAUAGAUGGGCCUGGGAGGUCACGUUUGAUGAGAACUCUGGAUCUCCUGCAGAUGCACAAUGAGAAAGGUCGGCUCAGCUUAUCCGAUACAGAAACGCGAAGGAGGCGGGUAGAGGACAAAAGACUGGGUGGAAACGAUCUGAAGACUCAUGAAGAGGAGGAGGAGAAAGGAGGGGAGGAGGAAGGAGGCUGAGACUGAAGGGGAACCUCAUCGGACAGGCGAAGCAGCUUCAAUUAAGAUUGGUCAACAGAUAAAAAGCUUCACAUGUUUGUGUGGGAGAGUGUGACGACCUCAAUCAUUGUGGAUGUUUAAAAGCCCAGACGAACGUCAGCAUGCAUGUGUUACAACUACUGUGCAUAACCUGAGAGUUUCCGUACCGAAGUAAGGAAAGCGCAUGAAGAGUUUGAGCUUUUUAUUUUGUUAGCCAUUUUUGCUUCCAGUCACUGUUUAGUUCCAGAUGUUGCUUCACCAUCUAAGAAGACUCCAGGGAGCAGUUUGGAGUUCCAGACAGACAGCUCUCAGAGGUUAUAUUCUCCAUUCUUCAAGGCUCACUGCUCACAGCGAGGGAUCUGUUCUCACCGCCCACCAGUCUGGGACCUUGAAGACCUGUAACGAUGGGCUGCUAGCAUGGCUUUAUCCUCUUAGACUGAGUGAAAGCGGAUAGGAUAUGAGACACAAAUCUGCCUUAAGAAUUUCAUUGGAGAUUUUCAAUGUUUUUCCUUGUGUGGAUAAAUAAAAGAUGUAAUUCCUUUCUGACCUGUGGUGGGCCACAACUAAACAGCUUGUGUGUUUUAAUGUUUCCAUUAAAGUCUCUGCUGUGUGGUUUUUACUAUGAAAUAAUUAUCAGUGUUAAAUAUAAAUAAAUUGCAUUUAAAACAAGCUAACCAUUCUGUGGUGGAAACGGCACAGCAAGCAAAUACAACAAUUUUAGCUGCUUUAAAUUCAGAUGUUGCCGCAGAGUAGCUACACAGUCCGGGUUAACAGAAUUAGCAUUGCAUCCUUAACAGAGUAGUGGUGUGCCAGCAGCCAAGUGCAACUGUUGCAGAGCAGAGCAGAGCAGCAGUAAAUGUAAAUGCUGUUACCCUGCAGAGUCCCAGAGCCCUGUGUUCCUAGCAGGCUUUAGGGGAGGACGGAGCUGUCUGAAACAAGGCUUAACCGUUAGUUCUGCUGGAGUCCCAUUGCUAUUCUCGCUCUUUACAAGUAUCUUUCUAGCAGGAGCACCUUUCGGUCAUUCUUUGCACCCUUUCCCACUGGUGGGAUUUCUAUCUGUGAAGACUGAGUAGCUUUUGUUAGAAAAAUACUUACAAAACCUCACGUAUGUUAGUAACUCUGUGGCACUUUUUGAUAUUUUUAUUACUAAAUUAUUAAACAGAACAGAUUCUUUUGUGCUUAGAGUAUUUUAGCAUAACUUCCUGUUAUGAUCCUGGUUUGGUUAUGUUUUUCCCUGUGCUACUGUCAGUGUUUCAUUCUUCUCAAAUUCAGAGCUCAAUGGUCUGUGAUGAAACAUGUUUACUGAUAAACACUAUGCAGUACUGUGAGCCACGAAUUUAAUCAGAAAUGAACCGAUUAAAGGGCCACACCAUAGUCCCCAGAAGAGUCAGGAGUUCUAAUAAAUAGCUUAUACACUUUAAUUUUGUGUUAAGUGUUACAAUGAUGUUGGAUAUCGAAAUCAGGACUGCUCAGAGACUUUCUGGUUGAAUUUCAACUUGUGGUCACAUUUUUUUUUUAGUUCUGACAGGAAACUCACAAGAUCCUCAUAGAACAUGACUUAACAUGUAAUGUUGUGUCACUAAAACGGCUUUAUCUGGCACUUAUUUAUGUUCUUACGACAGACAAAAUAAAACGUUUCUAUAAUUUUUUGGAAAUGUUUUCUUCUCUUUGGCCUGAAGAGACUUUGUAAGCACUCCUCAAGGUUGGAAUAUCACCUUUGUGACAUCUGAUAUUGAAAUGAUGGUCCAGGAUCUUUUAUAUUUAUUUAUUGUUGAGGGAAAGGGCUGUUUAUGUUUGUGGUUUUUAUGAAAACCAUAAUUUGCAACAUCAACCAUAUAUCUAUUGAACAUAACACAACAUCAACGCGAGCAAAUCAGUAGAAACAUGUGAGUAAACCCAAAAAACACUGUUUUCCAUCAUUUACAGUACCAGGACAGUAAAGUCCACCUCUGCAGUUCUGCCAUUUACCCAUAAGUCUUUGUGAAUUCAUCCACCUUUUCAGCUUCACUGCACUUAAACUGAGAUCUAUGUCUUGGUCUCAAACAGAAUGGCAUUUGCAAAUGUGUGUGCAAGGCUUUCUUAGCUGGAAAAACAAAUGACCCCUAUUUUUAUUUCAUUCCCGGAUUAAAUAGCUGACAAAGAAAUGGAAAAAGCAGUAAAAAAAAGGUAAAAGCAAAACAUUGAUGGAAGAUGUCUAAGGACUUCCUGGAAACAAUCAUGAAACCACAGUAUGUGUUUACACAGUAUUUAGCAUGUGUCUUACAGGGGUACUUAAUAAUAAGGUGACAAGAUGAAAGUUAAGCCUUAAAGUAUGUAUUUUUAAACGGGAAUUUUCUGAGAUUCGAUAUCUGACCCUUUUUGAGAUUGUGUAACAUUUUUUAAGCAUUAUGUGAGACUGUUUUCUGACUUUCGUCCCCCAUCCUGUGACCUUCUCGUUGCAGCUGUGUUUGAAGCCUGUGUACAAAUUAAAAUUGUGUGAUUGGUUAGAGUUGGAAGUGAUUGUGUUUCCUCACUGAUUGUGUUUCAGUUCAUUGUAUUUUUCCAGAAUCGUUGCUUGUCCAUUCGCACAGCUGUGUUACAGUUUUAA